AAAAGUCGGCUCUUAAUAUUAAAUUUUCUGCUUAUCUUUAUUUUCUUACAACUUACAAUUGACAGUUUGUUCAAAUCUGUAUCCUCUGAAUUUUAGUGUAGAAAAAUUAAGAACUAUAUUUAGUGAUGUGAAUAGGGUGUUUCCUAAUUGAAAGUCAGUCUUACCUUUUGAGAUACAGGGUGGUUAAGUUUUCAAAAAUAGAUAAGACAUGAAGAACUGAAUUUAAAGACUGAUGAACUGUUACACGACAACCGCCCUGACAACAGAAAUAUCAAAUUCUUGGCCACAACCCACUACGAUAAGAAAAAUCUGUGACAUACCAUCAAUGUCUGCCUAAAUAGGUAGGUCAAAUUAUGUACGAACGGACCGGUGGAAAUUAAAAAAAAAGUGAUACAUUAAAGAAUGCCACUUGAUUCAUAGUACAUGUAUGACAAGUUUCAUUAAAAUAUCUCAAGUGGUAUUGUAGAUAUCAAUAAUAAAUGAUUUAUUUUUGAAAAUAUUACCACCCUGUAUCUCAAAAGGAAACACCCUGUAUAACUAGCUUUCAAGAUGUUAAGGAAGGUUCAAUACAGAGUUUUCUCUAGUUUAAUAGUAUGAGUGAUAAUGUGUUGCAACAUUAUGAUAGCCCCUAUCCACACAAGAGUAUUCCUCUUAUAAGUUACUAGAAUGGUAAUUCAAAAGCUAAUGCAAAAUGCAAACUAGUCACUUUCUCUCUGAUGGCUCAAGUGUUCCAGAUUAUUAUUAUAUGUACACCAAAAUCAAAUGAUAACUUCAGUUUAUGAAAAUUAAAUUUUUUAUG